UUUUGUCUGGAUUCAUCAUCUGCAGCAUUCUCUGUCCCUGUCAAACACAUAAUGUGAUUGAAAACAAUGCCUACAGCUACAUCACAGGCACAGGAAAACCAACAACAGCAGCCAAAUACAUAUGUACCAAUUUUGAUGGGGAGGUUACUGAUGGCCUAUGCUCUGCAUGGAGCAAAGGACCUAUGUAAGUAAGUAACUUCUAGAAAGACAAUGUUCAACUAAACAAGGACCCAAGUAAAACAGGUCCUUGUCAAUCAAGGCAGAUUCAUUUGGUACAUUAAAUACAAAAACCAUGUGAAUCCGAACAGAUUGCUCCAUUUACCACUCCAGUAACAUACACCGUACAAACAGAGACUUUUUGAUUCAGGUUUUCUGGAGAUAUGUUUAGAUUAUAAAUCUUGUAUCUAUUGUACUGUACUGCAGUGUGAUUUACCAUCAAUAAACAAUUGCCAUCGCCCCACCUGUUUGUAGAAGUUGGGACCGAAUCCCACUCCAGCCCAGAUCUCGUCCUCUUCGUCUCUCAUCUUAGGGUCAGUCACCUGAUCCACAUACUUCUGUAGUUUGGCCACCGCUUUGGCGACCUCCUUGGAAUUCGCCUCUGGUUUCACGUAAAUCCACAGAUACAGUGCGUGGUUCUUGCCUUGAGAGAAAACCUACAAAAAUAUGUGCUUGUGUACAACAUAAUUUUUUUUAGUUCCCCUUUACAUUAAGUGACCAUUAAACUAAAAUGAUCCAACCCAGAAAUUCUAUUGCCAAUCCUCUCUAGAUCUUUUCCACCAAGUUUACAGGUUACCAAUAUAUUAAAAAUACUCACCGAGAUGAUAUAGCACCAUUUAAUAAAGGUAUAAUAAAUCUAGUGAGUCAGCACUUGGGAAAAGUGAUCUCUCACUGAAUGCUAAUAUUUACAAUUUUUACCAACGAAUGAAAGAUCUAUCUUACCUAUACCUACUCACCCAUACAUGAAGCUGGUGAGUCACAAAUGGCAAAAACAAUAUUUCAAUUUUAAUAGCUAUACCUUUAUCAUGAAAAUUUCCAUCUCAGUGAUGGGUAUAUUGAAUUCAAAGUAGAUCUAGUUGUUUAAAAAAUAAUUGCAGGUGUUGAUAUACCGGCUUCGACAUAAACAAAAAAACUCCUAAAUGCUGACAUACUGUUUUAAACAUGUUAAAGUUUAAACUGUGGUAUAUAGUAAGGGUGUUGUGCAUGUAAGAUAAAUAUUUUACAAAUUGAACUGUUUUGAUAAAUAAAGAGCAGAUAACUACACAUUUUACAAUGAAAUAAAAUAGUAAUUUUUUGUCAAUGAAUCAAUUCUUAUGCGUAAGCAGUGUAUCUAAAUAAAAACUAGGAUUCUCCUGAUAUGCUCCUACAAUACUAUACAAUUAUUGCUGAUUUUGAGGUCAAUACGAUAAUUUAGGCACCUGAGGAGUACAAUAUUCACCGAGCCCAAAGGGCGAGGUGAAUAUUGUACUUCGAAGGUGGCUAAGUCAUCGUAUUGACCUCAAAAUCAGCAAUAAUUGUUUUAUUAUAUGAUUAAAUGAUUAAAAAACCCUUCAAGAUUGUUAAUGUGACGACCGGAAAAUAAACCUGCUGAAAUCUUAGCCGAACCCAGUGAGAAAUGCGGAAUUUCAUUGGACGGCAAAAAUAAGUAUAAUCGAUCGCGUCAAAUUGGAAGUUCCCGACCUAUUUUUGGUCCUAUGUGGAAAAAAUAAUUCCUUAUGUUCACCUGGAAGGUCACGUGCAGGUAAACAUAACGUAGUAUGAUUUCUACAUUGUUGGAUCUCAGCCAAUUAGAGAGCUAGGAAUUAUUCAAUCAUAUAAUAAAAUAUAUUACAACAUGAAAUAUAACCAUUUGUACACAAGCAAGAUCUAGCUUUUAGGAAAUUUUAUCUGAUUUAAAUCACUUCUUUUCAUUAUUGCAUGAUUUUUUAUUUCAACAUACACUUGAUUUAGAUUUUAUUUUUUAAAAAAACUUACUGAUGGCUGGCUCUCGACAGCACCUGCUGCAUGUAGAGAAGGAACCCAUAACUGUGCCAUACUCUCUUCAGACUUCAUGUAUUUAUAGACCCCAUAUCCCGCCAGGGCGGAGCCUAGCACCAGUGGUGCCAAGGAUCUGCCCACUUGACCCGCUGGUCUUGUGGAAACAUUGCGACCUGUAAUUUUGAAGUAAUUUAUUUUAUUACGUAUGUACAUGUAUACACAAACUGAAAUUGCUGAUUGAAGAUGGGAUCAUAAUUUGGUUGAUAUGGCUACUGUGUAUUUAUCAUAUAAACUAGCUGCAAUUUUUAACAAAAUUCACUUGCAACUUCUACAUGUACAAAUAUAUCCAUGUAAAUUGGUUGCCAAAGGUUUCGACCCUUCUUUACUUUUGACCUUAUAAAGAGGUUUUGGUCUUUUUCUACUUGGCACUUAAAUUCUAAAGGUUCCGGCUCAUUUUUUGGUUUUUUUAUGUCAAAUUCACAUUUUACCUUAGAACAUUCCAUAACUAUUUUGUCAUUCCUUUUAAGAUUUUUUUCUUGCAUAUUUUCUUGCUUCUCCAUAAUAAGUACAUCUUAUAUAAUACAUGCAUACACUCCCUGAAAUGUUCUAUUUUCCCAGUUGAACGGUGAACGCACACAGAGCGAACGGUGAACGAAAUUUAGUUGAGCGCACGGUGAAUGCAAAGUGAACGGUGAGCGCACGGUGAACGCAAAAUGGUCUUUUCAUUCGGUAUAUUUCGGAUUUUUUCCUUGGAUUGUACUUACUUUAUAAUCAGGUAUAGAAUAUAUAUAUGAAUACAUCUGUUUGUUUAUUUUUGUGCAAAUACUGGAUGUACUUCUCAUGAAAUUAUGAUCGUAAAUUUCACAUCAAUGCACGUAACAAUGAUGGACAAACAAAAGAAAAUUUCACAUGUUCAUUGUUUACAGUAUUGCAUAUUCUGUACAGAUACAUGCAUACAUGAAAACUAGAAACAUAAAUUUUAUAAUAUUUAGAAUUCUUGACGUUUUCAUAAAUCAUGAAUAUUGGUGCGUCAUCUCGGUAUGCUACAUGUAAUUAUAUAUUUUGACUUAAGAUGCAUAAUAUUUAAUUUCUUAAUACAAGAGUAUAAAUGAGUCUAGUAAUUAUAGUGCCAAGAAUUUACAGAUGGACAUGCAUGACUUCAGAGUUUACAAAUGCGGUCGUUUGGAUUACACGCAGUUAAAAAAACAUCCCCGAAAGGAGUCGAGAUAAAUGCAUUGAACAACCAGCACGGGUAGAACAUGUACAUCAUGUACUUCGUGUUGACACCUGAAGGCUUCGAAAUAGUAUAAAAGGUUUAUUCCCACGUAGAUUUUGCGUAAUUCACUUUACUGUAAAUACAGAUAUAAUAUAUCGAACUGAGGAAAUAAUCUCCCAGAAUUAAUGUACGUAUGUACAAAAUAAAUAGUGUGACCAUGAAUUUACAUUUAGAUUGUGCAAUAUUUGUAUAUUUUUGAUGCGGAUAAUAUAGGGUUAUUGAACUUAUAUUGGUGAAUAUUGGCACGAGUUGGCUGUGAAAAUGCACGAGCUUGCAAGUGUAUUUUGACAGCCAACGAGUGCCAAUAUACACCAAUAUAAGUUCAAUAACCCUUUUAUUAUAUAGCUAAAGUAUUUAGUUGUUAAGUUAUAUCCCCUUUCACUCAAACUACUCCAAAAUAGAUGAGAAUUCAUCAAUAUUGGCAGUGUGCAAUAACAGCUUGCAUUUCUUAACUGUUUAAUAUUUAACCCGUCAUUAAUGCAUGAAGCAAACUGAUUUUGUAAAUGGGGACAUCAUAAUUUAUGUACAGUAAAACAUUUUGCUUAAGUAAAUUUAUAUCAAAUACCGGCUCUGUCAGAUUCGGAGGACCGUCAUCUGCCAUUUUGGCUUGUUUACGUCGUUACGGUAACGUCAAUAUUGAACACUCAUACUCGGAAUGUUUCGGGCGCAUACAAUUUACGCAGUGCAAAGUUAGCGUCAGGAUAUUGAACGCUAACAUUUUCUAGAUUUUACGCAGAUUUUAUAUUAGACUAUUUAUUAGCUAUAUAAUAAAAACUGUUUAUUGCACUGAACUAUACGUAUAUCAUAUGUGGGGCAGAAAUAUACGAGAAAUAUUUCCUCUUUAUAUUAGAGACAAACGUUUUAAAACUUUUAAAUUUGGGGAAAGGAGUAAAUAUAUUUAUUGACAAUGUCUCUCAUAAAGAUAGACGUAAAAUAAUAAGAAAUAUUUGUCAAAUCAAUUUGACCACGAAUGUGCAUUGAAAUGUACAGUGUAGCAUAUUUUUUUUAGGUAUGAGCGAGAGAGAGAGAGAGAGAGAGAGAGAGAGAGAGAGAGAGAGAGGUGUUAAGAAAAAUGAUAAACUUAUAUAGAAUUCUUGUCAAGCGAGACAAAUUAAAAUAUAAUAAAUUGUGUUUUCUCCAUACUUGAAAAUGUUAAAAUGAUAAUUCGGGUGGGGGCGAGGUAUUUAUUAACUGAAACUGCUUCAUUUUCGUACACGUACCAGCGCUCGUUGCUUGUUUUUCGCUAUAAGCACAUGUAUAAGGGUUAAAUUCAUAACUGAAGGCUCUUGUAUUUUUCUCUCAUUCAGAACUUCUCCCACUUUUUACCCAAACAAUAAUUGUGUUUGUAAUGAUAAUAACAAUGAUUUAUUCUAUUCUUUGAUAUUGAUGAGUGAUCCGCAGUUUUCCCUGAAUUUUUGCAGUUGAUAAUCUUGAUAUUUGUACUUUAUAAAUUAAAUUUCUGAUAUAAUAAGAAGUUUACUUUCACUCUUAUGCACAAGUUCCAUUUUCAUUUUUGCCUUGCUAUGGAAAUUCGAUCCUUUGACUGUGGUAUUCCGAAUGACAGUGAACGGUGAACGCAUGGUGAGCAAAAAACUGUAAAUGGAGAGCGCACAGUGAGCGAACGGUGAACAAACGGAGAGCAAAUGGUGAACGCACGGAGAACGAACGGAAAAAUGGUAAAGUAGAACGUUUCAGGGACUGUAAUCCCAUCAUUGAGAUUUCUCCUCUGCCGUGCAUCGUCUAUAUGAAAAAAAUCCAUAGCAAAAUGUGAAUUUUUGAGGUUUUAGACAGAAAAAUGCAUACUGGUACUGCACAGACAACAGUAUGUCAUACCAUACUUGCUAUCACAUGUUGAAAGUUACCCGCCUGCCAUCUUGCUUACGAAGGAAUGCAUCACGUGAUAUUUUGUCUAUAGAUACACCACCUUGUAGUGAACAAGUAGCAUUGUCCGAUUGUUUAGAUAUUUGAAUUUUGUAUUUCUACUUCAUUUGUUUUAUAUGAUGUACUUCAAUUGCAACAGAAGUGAUCAAACUACUUUGAACUUAUUGUGAUGGCGUAAUGUACGAUUUACGUAUUGUUGUUCUGUAUUCCUACGCAUAGGAUAGUGGUUUGUCCGUUUUAUUAUGAAGAAUUAUUUUGACUUAUGUUUGUAUGCCAUCAUAUUUGAUUAUAAUUCGCUGUACAGAAAUAGGACAAUUUGACAUUAUGUACUUUUCUAUAUCUGAAGUUUUUAUGUCUAUGAUUUAAAUUAGUCCGGAGAUGCUCUAGUAUAUAUUGAUUGUUUCGGUCACAUGACCAAUUUUAGAAAGUAUAUAAAGCGGGAAGUUUGCCAGUUUCAUCACCCUGAUCUGUAUCGAUUACAUCGUUCAUUUCAAAGAGUCAAAACAUUGAAAAUUCAUUAGGUAUGCAAAUGUAGAAAUUAUACUAAAUAUAUAGUUUUAGAGCUCUCCACCACAAUCCACAAUGAUGUUUGUUAGGAGUUUAUUAUUUUAAUCCGACAAGGCAGUAUUUCUAUAUGUUGUGUCCAGCAGAUAAAUUCAUACAACGAAA